UGAAAGGACGGAGCCCGUGGCACAGUGACCCACGCUGCAGCACUUGGAGGGGGCUGUGCCCCAGGGCAUGGACUCGGCUCGGAGAAGUUCCUGGAGAAGUCUCGGCUGGGAGAGAGGGCAGGGUGCAGCAGGGAACGACUCCUGUCCCUGAGCAGAGGGAGAAGCCGCGGGGGAUGAGCUGAGCACGGCCCCAUUCCCUGUCUCCUGCCCUGCCGGGGGAGGAGGUGCAGCUGGGAGCAGGGAGCCGUGGGGAAAGCUGCAUUUAAGGCUCUGCACUGACUUCUCCUUAUCCUGCUCUGAGUCUUUGGAGUUUUCUGCCAGAAAUCUCUCCCCUCCCCCGCUCCCCCACAAGGCUUUGGGCAGGUUUCCCUUUUUGGGGGAAAUCAAAGCCAAGCACCGAUGCACUAAUGAGGGGCAGGAGAAGGGAGGCUCCCGGGCUUCCCGCAGAGCCGGAGGCACGGAAGGCGCAGGGCCGGGAAAGCCGUGGCGGGAGGUGCGGAGAAGUUUGUUUGUGUGGGCAGCUCAAUCCCGCCUCGGGCCCGGGCCCGUCCCGGGGCUGUUGCUCAUCUCCGGCUUUGCCCUCACGCAGCGCGGGGGGCCCUGAGAGCGCGGGGCGAGUCUGGGCCGUGCGCAGAGCCCGCCCCCAGCUCGCUGCCAUUGGCCGCUGGUGCCGUCAGUCGUAAUUGCGGCGCGCUGAUUGGUGGGAGCGGGGCGCAGCACGGCCCCGGCGGCGGGCUGAGGGCGGCCGUGGGCGGGCAGCGGCGCCAUUGGCGCCAGGAGGGUCUGUGCGGGCCCGGGAGCGGCGGCAGCGGCCGGAGCGCGGUGAGGCGGCGGCGGCGGAGCUCGGAGGCGGCCCCGGCGCAGGCGUUUGUGGAUCAGGAGGCCUGGCUGCCACCUGCAUCCCCUGGCUCAGCUGCUGGAUGAGCUGCACUGCCAAGGUGUGGAGCAUGGUAAAAAGAUGAGAGUUGCUGCAGCACAGAAGAGGAGAAGCAGCAUUCGUGUAACCCCUGGUGUGCCGGGGAGCCACGAAUGUGUGUCCCAUUCCCAUCCUUUCUAUGUGUGGACCAAUACAUAAACUGCUGUCCUAUUUCCUUUCUCAUCUUUUUCAGCGCUUUCCUUUGUCAACUCUUUGCCAACAUCAGUUGGAGUCAUUUAUUUUCCCCCAGACUCCUGUUUUUUCUGCUCACAGAUAAUCUGACCCCAUCCCCUUGUGAAAUGCUCCGUUCCUCAUUUCAGUGGAUUGGUCGGCAGGAAGGUCAGGAGCUGGAGCUGUCUGGUUGGUUCUUAUUCCGAGGACAGCUUGUAAUCUAAUGAUGCCAUUGAAAUGAUAAAUGGGUUCUCUGCCUCCUGAUAUGAAUUGGUUCGGGUUCCCAGGGGCUGGUCCGUGGUGUUGUAGGAUUUGUUCUGGUGGCCCUUCAUCUUUUCCCCAUUUUUGGGUGCUCCCUGCAGCCGGGGCUGCAUCAAUUGACCACUUUUUUCUAAUUACAUCAUCAAAUACUUGAAUUCCAACUGAUCUCCCUGAACUUGUUAUAGCAAAAGCCCCAGUGCUCUGAUACACCCUGUAGAGCACAGACAGUGACAGCAGAUGUUGGAGUGGGCAGAGGGACGACCCCCCCCCUCCCUUUAUUUUAGUGAAGUUUUCACAACAUUCUCCAUUUGCUGUUUCCGUUUGCAGCUUUACCCAUUUCUGUUGCAGAGUCAGAGAUCCUCACCAUGGGCUCUGCCUUCAGCCGUGCAGAUUCCAUCUGUGCAAGCAGGCAGAGCUUGGGGUGAGGGGCAGAGGGAAUCAGCCAAUUCCUGACCCAGGCAAGAAGAGCCAGGUACAUUGUCCCCACUCUGCCCCAGCAGUGUUAAUUUGCAUUUCUAAAGCUCCUCCUGGGUGCCUGGAAUGCAGCUUCUCUUCCAGAGCAGCCUUCAGCAACCUCACCUGUGCCCCGCCACAACCUGGGGCUUUUUUUUGCCCCUUCAAAUCAUCUGUUUAAUGUUUAUAAGUUAAAAGGUCACCUUUAAAUCUCUUCUAGUUUUGCAAAAUGCAGCCUAAAGGUGAAUGUCGAAAAACCCUGACCAAAAUUUUGCCAUCGCUAAAAGCAAUGCACAAAGACACUAAAAAGUUCCAAGGCAAUUAAUUUUUUUCUCAUUCUUCUCGGAGUAAAAACUCAUUCUCACAUCCCUCACCAAACCUAACCAGCAAUAUAGAAGUAGGAUUAUUUUUAAAAAUACUCUAAUGCUAUAUACUUUGCACUGAAACUGCAGGAAAAAGCAAAACUCCACCAAUCUAUUUAGUGUUAGAGUCAAGGUAUUCCUUGAUUCUGGCUAGGAUGAGCAACAGAGAUCCUUCCAUCCCCACAUAGCCCAGGUGUGCAGAGAAAAUCGUUCCAUGACACAUGGGUUUUACUCUAUUUUUCCCAAACUUGAUACAGUCUGAACCAGUCUAAAUCCACUGGUUUAAUGUUCUGUAGUUUCAAGUUUUGCAGUUUUUAGUAUUUGGUUUCCUAUUGGACCCGGAUUUCUUUGCUUCUGCUGUUAAUGAGGUGGGAAGUGCUGGAUUUCCUUCUCAGCCUUUUGCAGACCAGGUGUCUGCGGCUCUGGGGGGGCAGUGUCUGGGGUAGGUGUUGGUCGCUGUUGCUGCUGGGGUUGAUGUUUUGCUGCUGGUCAUUAUCUUUGUGGGUAUCUCUGUGUGUUGAGGUGUUAAACUCAUUUCCAUUGAGUGGUGUAACAUCCCUUAACAAAACCAUUAACAUUUCUUUCCCCAGGGCCAAGGCAAACCAAGCCCGAGUAGAGAAAUCAAAGGUUAACCAUGUUAAAGUCUAUGAGCUGGUGUAUUUUCCAUCAAUGCCAUGGCAGGCAGGGCAGUGUGUGAGUGUAAGUGAGAGCCAGAGUGGAAUUGUCCCGUGCUCUUGCCCAGCAGCUGUGGCAGGGCAGGCCCAGAGAGCGCUGAAGCUGCAGCAGUGGCAGCAAGGGCUGUCCCCGGUGGCUGGAGCUGCCAAAGGAGGGUGGCCAGGCCGAGGAUUUCAGCAGAGGAUGUGUGGGCAGCCCCAGGGCCUUGCCCCGCUGUGGAGCCCUGGCUGCUGCUGCGCUGCCUUCAGUGCAGCUCAGUGGGGGCCUCCCAUCCUCCUGCUGCAGGCGGGAAGUGCAAAUCUCCGGGGCUGCAGAGACCUGGAGCCGAGGCUGAGGGGUCCCCCCCGUGCUCAGCUGUGCUGGCGGCUGUUUCUGGCCUCGGGGCCACUUGGCACGGGCCACGCCACUUGGCCACCAGUGGUGCUGCUCUGCACUCCUUAGGCAGGAGCCGAUGUCCUGCUGGGAUGUUGGCAACAGCAAAGUGCCAAGGCAGGCUCUGUGCCAGCCCAGCUUCCUGGGGGAGAGAUUGCACCAGAGACA